GUAGCUCGCAGAGCUUUACCCACAAACUGCCAAACAUUUGCUGCUGCGUCUAGCAAGCCAGCACAAGUCAGUCUUUUACUAAACCGCCUGGGUCUCCCUGACUAUUUGCAUAUUUCCAGGUGAAGCGUGAAGCAAAAUCAGACCACGUUAUGCUCACCCUGCAGAAUAUUUGCUGAGAAGAUUCGUUUCCUGGAAACUGGCCAGAAUCCAGUGAUGCUCAUAGUAAAGCACAUGUCAGGACAUUUUAAAAGCACUGCAACAUUAGCAUGAUGAUCAUGGAGAUCAUUUGCCAAUGGCAAACUCUACAGCUGAAUCCAAUCAGGGCUGUGAAAAGGUCCUUUCAGCCUCCUCUGACUCAUAAUAAUAAUUCAGGGUUAGAUUUUGCAUUUGGCUGUGGCUUUUAAUAGAGGGUUGUGGAGAGCUGCACCUGCCGGAGCUCUGUGCCGGCCCAGGGAAGGGGGAUGGAUCAGUCGGAAACAUUUCAAAUGUUUGUCACGUGCCUUUCCAGCUCACCAAGUAGUGCUGCACUGUGGGGAUGCCUUUUCCUCUCCUGUGCUUCCCAGCUUGUACACGGUGUACCCAAGGGAGAAAGAGACUCCAACACCCCCUUGGCACGGUCCACAUGUUCCACACUCACUUCCCAGGGACAGAGCUAAGGGUGUCUAGUCUCUUCCCUUCCUGCUCUGCAGAGCUUUCAGUUUGGCUGAGUUUAGGACAGUGGCUAAACACAAGGUAAUCUUAUAGCCUGUGCCAGUGUUUGAUUAUUUUUUGCCAGUGAAUCAUUAUUAAAUUAGUUUGGGUUAGCUAACAGACUGUGGGAGCAGUGGCAAUCAAAUACAGGGAGGAUAGAAAAAAUAUCUCCUUAUGUGGGAGUGUGAAUUGGGGACUGUCCACAGCAUGAAAUAACCAGGCUGAUCACACAGUCCAGCAUACCAAGGGAAGGACAGAGCAGGGGAAAGCUCAGAAUCUCCAUUAAACUUGCCUCAUUAAUUCCUCCAAGUCUGGAGGUGCCAUCCUGCCUGCCCACAGCUAGUCCGAAGAGUCCACAGAGCAGCUACAGCAUCAGAGCAGAUCUGUCCUGCCUCUAGCUACUCUACAACCCCAGAGUGGAAGGGGAGCAAAUCAGGAGGAUUGAAUUUUAUUAACUUUCUCUCCUUUUGUCCCAGCUCAGGACAGAAAUAACAAGCACCACUUUGGACAGACCAACUAUCAAUGUCAUACUGAUGCCUCUGUGUAAUUUAAAAGGAAUUAAGUUACCACUUGAAACACCUUACUGUGUUGUUUGGUGACCGAAAUGUGUCCCCAUUCUGUCUUCCUGAUCAAGAUCUUGAUUUAAUAAAGGUUAAAAAAAAAAUAAAUCUGCAUUCCCAUCUCCUAAAAAUGUGCUAAAGGAAGCAGAAAGUAGAAGGGAAAACACUGAUGUCUGCAAGAGUUUCUUAGUUGCUAUUGAGUGCCUGGUAUUGCAGAGCCAUGUUGUAAAGGCUUCUGCACCCACAGGUGACUUCCAACUGAUUCUGACUCACUGAGCACUAAAAUUUAGACAAAUUUCCUCCCCUUCCUCAUAGAAAUAAUAAUGACAAACUGAUGGGUAUUCUGCAUAGGAACUUCAUUCCAGAAGAGGAAUGGUCUUGUAAGAAAACAUGUGUUCAGGCCAGAAAGCAUUUUGCAGAUAUCUCCUGAUAUGCUUGUGACAAGCCCUCUGCAGUAAACAGCCAUUGCACAGGUGGAGACAUACCGUGUCAUAUGGGCUGGUGUCCUGCCUGUCUGCAGAGACCUAGGCCUAAACACUGCGAGCAUCCCAGUACCACCAGGGGCCUGACCCAGCAGGACCAGAGUUAAGCCCAUGGAUGAGCCCUGGGAGUUCUGGAGUGCCUUGAGGGACUGGUGCUGAGACGUGGCCCAUGUGGAGGCUGAUGGAUGCCCGGGCUGAAUGAGCCAGCUGAUUGCUGCUAAAGGCUUUGGCCGGAUGAGUGCACAAGGCAGCACUAUUUAUUUCAUUUGAAUAAUACAUGACUAAUAAGUUAAAUAAGAGAAAGCAGAAUGAGCUUUCCGGUUAAGCCAAAAAUGUCUGAUGGUUGUUUCCUGGGCAUUUUGGGUCUCUGGGAAGCUUUGAAGUGGCCCUAAUGAACUUGCCAAUGUAGAUAAUGUAAAAUAUUUUAAUGAUUAUCCGGCAGUGCUGUCUAUGAUAUAUAAUCUGAAAUGUUUAGAAGAGAUGAAACUGUCCUCUCUAAAUGGCUGUUUGAUGCUGACUAAAAUGGUGCAAAUUCUGUUGCAAAGGUGGUUUAUGAAAACGCUUCAACGUAACUUGCUUUUAAUUAAAUUGUCCUGAUUGAGCUAUC